CAGCAGUGGGGAAUAUUGGACAAUGGGCGAAAGCCUGAUCCAGCAAUGCCGCGUGAGUGAUGAAGGCCUUAGGGUUGUAAAGCUCUUUUACCCGGGAAGAUAAUGACUGUACCGGGAGAAUAAGCCCCGGCUAACUCCGUGCCAGCAGCCGCGGUAAUACGGAGGGGGCUAGCGUUGUUCGGAAUUACUGGGCGUAAAGCGCACGUAGGCGGCUUUGUAAGUUAGAGGUGAAAGCCCGGGGCUCAACUCCGGAAUUGCCUUUAAGACUGCAUCGCUAGAAUUGUGGAGAGGUAAGUGGAAUUCCGAGUGUAGAGGUGAAAUUCGUAGAUAUUCGGAAGAACACCAGUGGCGAAGGCGACUUACUGGACACAUAUUGACGCUGAGGUGCGAAAGCGUGGGGAGCAAACAGGAUUAGA
rnacentral:rRNA from 1 species